rnacentral:rRNA from 1 species
UACAGAGGGUGCAAGCGUUGUUCGGAAUUAUUGGGCGUAAAGGGCGCGUAGGCGGUGCGGUAAGUCUGCGGUGAAAUCUCCCGGCUCAACUGGGAGUCUGCCGUGGAUACUGCUGGGCUCGAGUCCGGAAGAGGAGUGUGGAAUUCCUGGUGUAGCGGUGAAAUGCGCAGAUAUCAGGAGGAACACCAAUGGCGAAGGCAGCACUCUGGGACGGUACUGACGCUGAGACGCGAAAGCGUGGGGAGCAAACAGG